CACUCCUGCGGGAGGCAGCAGUGGGGAAUAUUGGACAAUGGGCGCAAGCCUGAUCCAGCCAUGCCGCGUGAGUGAUGAAGGCCCUAGGGUUGUAAAGCUCUUUUGUGCGGGAAGAUAAUGACGGUACCGCAAGAAUAAGCCCCGGCUAACUUCGUGCCAGCAGCCGCGGUAAUACGAAGGGGGCUAGCGUUGCUCGGAAUCACUGGGCGUAAAGGGUGCGUAGGCGGGUCUUUAAGUCAGGGGUGAAAUCCUGGAGCUCAACUCCAGAACUGCCUUUGAUACUGAAGAUCUUGAGUUCGGGAGAGGUGAGUGGAACUGCGAGUGUAGAGGUGAAAUUCGUAGAUAUUCGCAAGAACACCAGUGGCGAAGGCGGCUCACUGGCCCGAUACUGACGCUGAGGCACGAAAGCGUGGGGAGCAAACAGGAUUAGAUACCCCAGUAGUCCCAUGAU
rnacentral:rRNA from 1 species